AUACGUAGGUGGCGAGCGUUGUCCGGAAUUACUGGGUGUAAAGGGCGUGUAGGCGGGUUCUUAAGUCAGAUGUGAAAUUCCGGGGCUCAACUCCGGAGCUGCAUCUGAAACUGGGGAUCUUGAGUGCUGGAGGGGAAAGUGGAAUUCCUAGUGUAGCGGUGAAAUGCGUAGAGAUUAGGAGGAACACCAGUGGCGAAGGCGGCUUUCUGGACAGUAACUGACGCUGAAGCGCGAAAGCGUGGGGAGCAAACAGGAUUAGAUACCCUGGUAGUCCACGCCGUAAACGAUGGAUACUAGGUAUAGGGGGUCUAAUAUACCCUCUGUGCCGCAGCUAACGUAUUAAGUAUCCCACCUGGGGAGUACGGCCGCAAGGCUGAA
rnacentral:rRNA from 1 species